rnacentral:rRNA from 1 species
GCGGAGGAAAAGAAACUAACAAGGAUUCCCCUAGUAACGGCGAGUGAAGCGGGAUGAGCUCAAAUUUAAAAUCUGGCGGCCUCAGGUCGUCCGAGUUGUAGUCUAGAGAAUCGUUUUCCGCGUUGGCCUGUGUACAAGUCCCUUGGAACAGGGCGUCAUAGAGGGUGAGAAUCCCGUCCUUGACACAGACUACCAAUGCUUUGUGAUGCGAUCUCGAAGAGUCGAGUUGUUUGGGAAUGCAGCUCAAAAUGGGUGGUAAAUUCCAUCUAAAGCUAAAUAUUGGCGAGAGACCGAUAGCGAACAAGUACCGUGAGGGAAAGAUGAAAAGCACUUUGGAAAGAGAGUUAAACAGUACGUGAAAUUGUUAAAAGGGAAACGAUUGAAGUCAGUCAUGCUUUCCGAGACUCAGCCGAUUCUGUCGGUGUACUUCUCGGUUGGCAGGCCAGCAUCAGUUUCGAUCUGUGGAAAAGGUUGGAGGGAACGUGGCAUCCUCGGAUGUGUUAUAGCCCUUCUUCGAAUACAUAGAGCGGGACUGAGGAACGCAGCGCGCCUUUUAUUAGGUUGGCCCUCGGGUACAUACGCGCUUAGGAUGCUGGCAUAAUGGCUUUAAACGACCCG